GAACGCUAGCGACAGGCCUAACACAUGCAAGUCGAGGGGCAGCACAGAGGUAGCUUGCUACUUUGGGUGGCGACCGGCGCACGGGUGCGUAACAGGUGUGCAAUCUGUCCAUAAUCGGGGAAUAGCCCAGCGAAAGUUGGAUUAAUGCUCCAUGUGAGUAAGAGAGGCAUCUCUUUUAUUUGAAACGCAAGGAUUAUGGGUGAGCACGCUUCUGAUUAGGUAGUUGGUGAGGUAACGGCUCACCAAGCCGACGAUCAGUAGGGGUUCUGAGAGGAAGGUCCCCCACAUUGGAACUGAGACACGGUCCAAACUCCUACGGGAGGCAGCAGUGAGGAAUAUUGGUCAAUGGACGGAAGUCUGAACCAGCCAAGUCGCGUGAAGGAUGAAGGUUCUAUGGAUUGUAAACUUCUUUUGUCUGAGGGUAAAAAAGCGGACGUGUCCGUUCUUGCAAGUAUCAGACGAAUAAGCAUCGGCUAACUCCGUG
rnacentral:rRNA from 1 species